rnacentral:rRNA from 1 species
UGUUGUGGGUGGAUUAGUGGCGAACGGGUGAGUAAUACGUGGGUAACCUGCCCUCCUUUUUGGGAUAAGCCUUGGAAACGGGGUCUAAUACCGAAUAUUCUGGCGCUCUCGCAUGGGGGUGUUGGGAAAGCUUUUGUGUGAAGGGGGAUGGGCUCGCGGCCUAUCAGCUUGUUGGUGGGGUGAUGGCCUACCAAGGCGGUGACGGGUAGCCGGCCUGAGAGGGUGACCGGCCACAUUGGGACUGAGAUACGGCCCAGACUCCUACGGGAGGCAGCAGUGGGGGAUAUUGCACAAUGGGCGAAAGCCUGAUGCAGCGACGCCGCGUGGGGGAUGAAGGCUUUCGGGUUGUAAACCUCUUUCGCUAUCGAACAAGGCYCRCUUAGGGUGGGUUGAGGGUAGGUGGAGAAGAAGCGCCGGCUAACUACGUGCCAGCAGCCGCGGUAAUACGUAGGGCGCGAGCGUUGUCCGGAAUUAUUGGGCGUAAAGGGCUUGUAGGCGGCUUGUUGCGCCUGCUGUGAAAACGCGGGGCUUAACUUCGCGCGUGCAGUGGGUACGGGCAGGCUUGAGUGUGGUAGGGGUGACUGGAAUUCCAGGUGUAGCGGUGGAAUGCGCAGAUAUCUGGAGGAACACCGAUGGCGAAGGCAGGUCACUGGGCCAUUACUGACGCUGAGGAGCGAAA